rnacentral:rRNA from 1 species
GAUAAACGCUGGCGGCGUGCUUAACACAUGCAAGUCUAACGAGAACGGAAUAUAGCUUGCUAUAUUUGUCAGCUAAGUGGCGCACGGGUGAGUAAUGUAUAGAUAACCUGCCCUUAAGAAAGGAAUAACAGUUGGAAACGACUGCUAAUGCCCUAUAUGCCUUUAAUACAUAAGUAUGCAAGGGAAACGCUUUAGUGCUUAAGGAUGGGUCUGUAUGGUAUCAGCUUGUUGGUGAGGUAAUGGCUCACCAAGGCUAUGACGCCUAACUGGUUUGAGAGGAUGAUCAGUCAGACUGGAACUGAGACACGUUCCAGACUCCUACGGGAGGCAGCAGUGGGGAAUAUUGAACAAUGGACGAAAGUCUGAUGCAGCAACUCCGCGUGGAGGAUGACACAUUUCGGUGCGUAAACUCCUUUUAUAUAGGAAGAUAAUGACGGUACUAUAUGAAUAAGCACCGGCUAACUCCGUGCCAGCAGCCGCCGUAACAC